GACCUCAGUGAGGAUCAGCCCUGGGGAGGAAGCAGCUGGACAGGAUGUGCUGGCUGUGCGUGUCCUGGUCACCAGCGAGGACAGCAGCUCUGACACAGAGUCUGACUAUGGUGGCAGCGAGGCCUCCCACACAGAGCCCUGUGAAGAGAAACCCCGGCGGCCAGGAUCCCCACAUCUACCGCACACGUCCCUAGGGGAGGCCCUGAGCAGGGCGGUCUCUCCACAGUGCCCUGAGGAGCCCAGAGCUGUGCACGCAGCUCUGCAACGGGCCAAUAGCUUCCAGUCUCCAACCCCAAGCAAAUACCAGAACUGGAGGAGAGAAUUCUGGUGGAGUGAGUCACUAGCUCUCUGGGGAUGGGAGGCUGGGGCUGGGCAGAAGAUCUCUGGUUAAUUCUCAGGGGCAGCUGUUCUCAUUCCUUACAUGGUAUCUCUCUGGCAUGGCUCCUGGUUGUCAGAGGCAAGAAAUAAAAUAUAAGGUUGA
rnacentral:sRNA from 1 species